AUUGAACGCUGGCGGCAGGCUUAACACAUGCAAGUCGAGCGGAGAGAGGUAGCUUGCUACCGAUCUUAGCGGCGGACGGGUGAGUAAUGCUUAGGAAUCUGCCUAUUAGUGGGGGACAACAUUUCGAAAGGAAUGCUAAUACCGCAUACGUCCUACGGGAGAAAGCAGGGGAUCUUCGGACCUUGCGCUAAUAGAUGAGCCUAAGUCGGAUUAGCUAGUUGGUGGGGUAAAGGCCUACCAAGGCGACGAUCUGUAGCGGGUCUGAGAGGAUGGUCCGCCACGCUGGGGCUGAGACACGGCCCAGACUCCUACGGGAGGCAGCAGUGGGGAAUAUUGGACAAUGGGCGCAAGCCUGAUCCAGCCAUGCCGCGUGUGUGAAGAAGGCCUUAUGGUUGUAAAGCACUUUAAGCGAGGAGGAGGCUACUUUAGUUAAUACCUAGAGAUAGUGGACGUUACUCGCAGAAUAAGCACCGGCUAACUCUGUGCCAGCAGCCGCCGUAACAC
rnacentral:rRNA from 1 species